rnacentral:rRNA from 1 species
AGCUCCAAUAGCGUAUAUUUAAGUUGUUGCAGUUAAAAAGCUCGUAGUUGGAUUUCGGUUAAGAGCGACCGGUCCGCCGUUUGGUGUGCACUGGUUGGUUUUAACUUCCUGUAGAGGACGUGCUCUGGGUUUAACGACCUGGACUCGGAGUCUACGUGGUUACUUUGAAAAAAUUAGAGUGUUCAAAGCGGGCUUACGCUUGAAUAUUUCAGCAUGGAAUAACACUAUAGGACUCCUGUCCUAUUUCGUUGGUCUCGGGACGGGAGUAAUGAUUAAGAGGAACAGUUGGGGGCAUUCGUAUUUCAUUGUCAGAGGUGAAAUUCUUGGAUUUAUGAAAGACGAACUUCUGCGAAAGCAUUUGCCAAGGAUGUUUUCA